AACGAACGCUGGCGGCAUGCCUAACACAUGCAAGUCGAACGAGACCUUCGGGUCUAGUGGCGCACGGGUGCGUAACGCGUGGGAACCUGCCCUUAGGUUCGGAAUAACUCCCCGAAAGGGGUGCUAAUACCGGAUAAUGUCUUCGGACCAAAGAUUUAUCGCCUUUGGAUGGGCCCGCGUUGGAUUAGCUAGUUGGUAGGGUAAAAGCCUACCAAGGCGACGAUCCAUAGCUGGUCUGAGAGGAUGAUCAGCCACACUGGGACUGAGACACGGCCCAGACUCCUACGGGAGGCAGCAGUGGGGAAUAUUGGACAAUGGGCGAAAGCCUGGUCCAGCAAUGCCGCGUGAGUGAUGAAGGCCUUAGGGUUGUAAAGCUCUUUUACCCGGGAUGAUAAUGACAGUACCGGGAGAAUAAGCUCCGGCUAACUCCGUGC
rnacentral:rRNA from 1 species